GCGGAGGCCAGUCCGGAUGGACACAGGAGCCUAUGGAGCGCGGAGACUGUGUGAAGGUGCAGGCGGUCGCCAGCAGCAAGGGGCACUCAGCAGCUCUGCAUCCCUGGACCGGAUCCCUCUCCCAGCCAGGCCCACUCCUUAGCCAGUCGGGGAGCGAGGCAUGGCCAGGGCCGGGGAGAGAAAGUGCUCGGUGAGGAUGCCUGACCCUGCGCCCACCUGAAAACGACGGGUCCAGAGCCACAGACAAGCUCUGAUGCAGCCGAGGCUUGGUCCUUGACUUGCCAGCUGAGACUACAACUAACAGUCCCACAGAACUUGGCCCCAUCAGCUCGCUGUAUUCCGAAGCCCAGGAAAAGGCAGAUGCUUCUGCUGUGAGUUGAUAGACAGAGGCAAGAUGCUGCCCCAGGAUGUAUUCUUCAUCUGAUUGUCUGAAAUCCCAUCUUCAGUGCUCUGUUUCUACUGCUCAGGUCAGCAUUUGCAAGAAUGUGUUCCACAAAACCCAAGUUCUGCAGGCUGUUAAGAAGUUGUGUGUAAAAGCCUGUUCUCAUGGAGUAUCUUUUUGGACCAGUGCGAACGGAUCUAACUGUAUUCUAGCAGCUGCUGGUACCUCUGUCCAGGCGCUGGCGUGAGAUGGACACUUAAUACAUACGAUCAGCCCUGUCUCUUCUUUUAACUAAUCUGAUAAAUGUAGACAUGCUGACAGUUUUGUGAUAAUACUCCCCCGCCUGGGGCUUUUCCAUUUUCCUCUCCAGGAAGAGGGCCGUGUUUAGCAUAGCAUUCCUCAGUGUGAGUUCAUGCCUUCAUGGGCCUUAUCACAUGGGAGUGCGGUGUGGGACAGGACACUGGGGAGGCACGCACGUGACAGAGGCACUUCCUGGACCAGCUCGUGGUGGCACCUUGCCCACCACCAGACACCCCUCCCAGGGCCUGAGCACUGCCCCAAGCUCCCUGCAGGACAGCCAUGCUCGAGUCUGGGACCAAGAGUGCUCUCUUUAAGGAGGCUGGGAUCUCAGAGUGGGACUCUCAGCAUCCAGAUACCAAAGGGGGUCGUCCUCUUCCUCCCUCUUUUCUUCCUGCAGGGGUUUCUUGGGCCACAGCCUCACCUUUGCCCAUCCCCCUCAGUUGGGAAUUGUCUGAAUUAAGAGUUAAAAAAGGUCAGAUCUUGGAAGGAUUGAGCCUCCUCUCCCAGGAGGCCCAGAGAAAACUUCAAGUCAUAAACCUAUUGUCCUGGAGAACCUCAUCUAGCUCUAGAAAGUAAGUCUAUGGAUUGAGAAACAUCAUAAACUCCUGCCAUUUACAUAUGAAAUACUUCUUGUAAUUCCCUCUCCCCUCCGUCCACCCUCCUGUGGGGUCCUCCUCGUGUCACUCCUGUGUGAUUACAGUAGCUUCCUAAGGUGU
rnacentral:lncRNA from 1 species